rnacentral:snoRNA from 13 species
GGAUUCAUGAUGAGCUGUUUAGUAAGGAUAAAUAAGUGAAGUUCAAAAUGAUUAUUCUGAAGUUC